rnacentral:misc_RNA from 1 species
UACAGAGGCUCCAAGCGUUAUCCGGAAUCAUUGGGCGUAAAGGGUGUGUAGGCGGUCAUAUUAGUCUUUUGUUAAAGCCCGGGGCUCAACCCCGGACCAGCAGAGGAAACGGUAUGACUAGAGAAUGUGAGAGGUAAAGGGAACUCAAGGAGUAGGGGUGAAAUCCGUUGAUAUCUUGGGGAACACCAAAAGCGAAGGCACUUUACUGGCACAUUUCUGACGCUGAGACACGAAAGCUAGGGUAGCGAACGGG